GACGAACGCUGGCGGCGUGCUUAACACAUGCAAGUCGAACGGAAAGGCCCUGCUUUUGUGGGGUGCUCGAGUGGCGAACGGGUGAGUAACACGUGAGUAACCUGCCCUUGACUUUGUGAUAACUUCAGGAAACUGGGGCUAAUACCGGAUAGGAGCUCCUGCUGCAUGGUGGGGGUUGGAAAGUGUCGGCGGUUGGGGAUGGACUCGCGGCUUAUCAGCUUGUUGGUGGGGUAGUGGCUUACCAAGGCUUUGACGGGUAGCCGGCCUGAGAGGGUGACCGGGCACAUUGGGACUGAGAUACGGACCAGAAGCCUACGGGAGGCAGCAGUGGGGAAUAUUGCACAAUGGGCGGAAGCCUGAUGCAGCAACGCCGCGUGCGGGAUGACGGCCUUCGGGUUGUAAACCGCUUUCGACUGUGACGAAGCGUGAGUGACGGUAAUGGGUAAAGAAGCACCGGCUAACUACGUG
rnacentral:rRNA from 1 species